rnacentral:rRNA from 1 species
GAUGAACGCUGGCGGCGUGCCUAAUACAUGCAAGUCGAGCGAACGGACGAGAAGCUUGCUUCUCUGAUGUUAGCGGCGGACGGGUGAGUAACACGUGGAUAACCUACCUAUAAGACUGGGAUAACUUCGGGAAACCGGAGCUAAUACCGGAUAAUAUUUUGAACCGCAUGGUUCAAAAGUGAAAGACGGUCUUGCUGUCACUUAUAGAUGGAUCCGCGCUGCAUUAGCUAGUUGGUAAGGUAACGGCUUACCAAGGCAACGAUGCAUAGCCGACCUGAGAGGGUGGGCGGCCCCACUGAAACUGAGCCCCGGCCCAGCCUCCGACGGGGGGCAGAAGUGGGAAUUCUUCCGAAUGGGGCGAAAGCCGGACGGAGCAGCGCCGCGGGAGUGAUAGAGGUUUUCGUAUCUAAAAACUUUGUUAUGAGGGAAAAAAAUAUGUGAAAGAAACUGGGCACGUUUUGCGGUACCCAAAUAAGAAAGCCAGGCCAAAACCCGCC